UGCGGCAGAAUAACUUUCCGCAUAAUUUAAGACCGCCGGUCUUGUCGACAACACAAUCGUUGAGGUGGACAGGAUCGGCGGUUUUCUU
rnacentral:sRNA from 2 species